CUGGCUGGGCCGGGCCUUCCGCGGCGGCGGCUCCUCUGUCUCUCGCCCGCUCCUCGUGCUCGCGGCCUCCGGUCUCUGCCCGCGGCGAUGGCGACGCUUCACGGGGCGGCCACCAAGGCCGGCGUCCCGCCCCAGAUCCCAGACACCCGCCGCGAACUCGCCGAGCUGGUCAAGCGCAAGCAGGAGCUGGCGGAGACGCUGGCCAACCUGGAGCGGCAGAUCUACGCCUUCGAGGGCAGCUACCUGGAGGACACGCAGAUGUACGGCAACAUCAUCCGCGGCUGGGACCGCUACCUCACCAACCAGAAAAACUCCAACAGCAAGAACGACCGACGGAACCGGAAGUUCAAAGAAGCUGAGCGCCUUUUCAGCAAGUCCUCUGUCACGUCAGCCGCUGCGGUCAGUGCAUUGGCCGGUGUGCAGGACCAGCUCAUUGAGAAACGGGAGCCUGGCAGUGGGACAGAGAGCGAUACUUCCCCAGAUUUCCACAACCAGGAGAAUGACCCAAGUCAGGAGGAAGCGGAAGAGCUGGAUGGCUCCGUUCAAGGGGUGAAACCCCAGAAAGCUGCAUCCUCCACCUCGGGCAGCCACCAUAGUAGCCACAAAAAACGGAAGAACAAAAACCGACACAGCCCGUCUGGCAUGUUUGAUUAUGACUUUGAGUAUGUAUAUUAGGUUAGGCUGGCACGUUUUUUAAAAUACAGACAAAAGCGCAAAGGAGGAUUGAUCUCAAGUUGAACAAAAAACCCCGAGCUGACUACUAGGGCUCCUCCACACCGAAUCUUCCAGGAGCUGUGCCUCUUCCCCACCCCCGCUGGUCCACACCAAGAGGCUGGAUAAGCACAACAACCGCCCCCUCCCAGACCACGCACCUGUGUUGUUUGCGGCCUGGAUGUGAUGGUGCUGCUUCUCGCUUCCUUGCUGAUAGAAAGAGAUGCCCUUCUCUGGCCCAGCUGCUGCCACUUCACAAUGUGUAGAACAACCAUUCAGAGAUGCUCUUGUGGACGUUUGCUUCUCCUGCUGCUGCCUCCUGGUUGGAUGUUUUGUCUCCUGUAUGUUUAUUUUUUUAAAUUAAACCUUGAUAGUUAA